UACCGAGUGAGGGCCCUCUGGGUCCAACCUCCCACCCGUGUCUAUCGUACCUUGUUGCUUCGGCGGGCCCGCCGUUUCGACGGCCGCCGGGGAGGCCUUGCGCCCCCGGGCCCGCGCCCGCCGAAGACCCCAACAUGAACGCUGUUCUGAAAGUAUGCAGUCUGAGUUGAUUAUCGUAAUCAGUUAAAACUUUCAACAACGGAUCUCUUGGUUCCGGCAUCGAUGAAGAACGCAGCGAAAUGCGAUAAGUAAUGUGAAUUGCAGAAUUCAGUGAAUCAUCGAGUCUUUGAACGCACAUUGCGCCCCCUGGUAUUCCGGGGGGCAUGCCUGUCCGAGCGUCAUUGCUGCCCUCAAGCACGGCUUGUGUGUUGGGCCCCCGUCCCCCUCUCCCGGGGGACGGGCCCGAAAGGCAGCGGCGGCACCGCGUCCGGUCCUCGAGCGUAUGGGGCUUUGUCACCUGCUCUGUAGGCCCGGCCGGCGCCAGCCGACACCCAACUUUAUUUUUCUAAGGUUGACCUCGGAUCAGGUAGGGAUACCCGCUGAACUUAAGCAUAUCAAUA
rnacentral:rRNA from 2 species